UACGAAGGGGGCUAGCGUUGCUCGGAAUCACUGGGCGUAAAGCGCACGUAGGCGGCUUUUUAAGUCAGGGGUGAAAUCCUGGAGCUCAACUCCAGAACUGCCUUUGAUACUGGGAAGCUUGAGUCCGGGAGAGGUGAGUGGAACUCCGAGUGUAGAGGUGAAAUUCGUAGAUAUUCGCAAGAACACCAGUGGCGAAGGCGGCUCACUGGUCCGGUUCUGACGCUGAGGCGCGAAAGCGUGGGGAGCAAACAGG
rnacentral:rRNA from 1 species